rnacentral:ncRNA from 1 species
AUAUAAAUUUUUAUGGUUUAAUUAAUUUAUUUUAAGUUUAUUUUACAUAUAAAUUUUAGUAAGUAUUUUAUUUUAUUUAAAUAAUAAAAUAUAUUAAUGAGUAGUGAUUAAUAUUAAAAAUUUAAGAAAUUAUGAUUUAGUAAUAUAAUAAUUAAAAACUAAUUUUGUGCCAGCAGUUGCGGUUAAACAAAAUUUAAAAUAAAUUUUUUUUAGUGGUUAAUUUAUAUGUAAAAUAAAUUUAAUUUAAAAUUUAAAUUAUUAGGUGAAAUUUUAAUUUAAUAAAAUAUUAAUUUUUUAUUUAUGAUAUUAAUAAAUUUUUGAAAAAACUAGGAUUAGAUACCCUAUUAUGAAAAAUUUAAAUUUAAAAUACUAAAAUAGUAGUUAAUUUUUAUUGAAACUUAAAUAAAUUGGCGGUAUUUUAGUUCAUUUAGAGGAAUCUGUUUAAUAAUUGAUAUUCCACGAAUAAAUUUACUUAAUUUAAUAAUUUGUAUAUCGUUGUUAAAAAAAUAUUUUAAAAUGAUUAAUAAUAUUUAAAAAUUUAAAUUUAAAAUUAAAUCAGAUCAAGAUGCAGUUUAUAAUUAAGAAUAUAAUGGGUUACAAUAAAUUUAUUUAAAUGAAUAUAUAUUUGUAAUAAUUUAUUGAAGGUGGAUUUAAAAGUAAUUUUAUUUAAUUUUUUAAAAUGAUUAAAAAUUAAAAUAUGUACAUAUUGCCCGUCACUUUCAUAUAUAAGUUGAAAUAAGUCGUAACAAAGUAGAGGUACUGGAAAGUGUUUCUAGAAUGAUU